rnacentral:lncRNA from 1 species
UGUCAAGAUUAGUUCUAAGCUUUAUAAGAGCCUCAACUUCAACUUUUGGCCAUCGUGAAGGACUCGGUGAAAGUGAAACUGAAACCGCACUAUUCCCUCCAUUACUCAUUUCUGAGGUAUCAAAAUUCAAAGCUUGAGUUGGCGGCGGGUGUGUCUUUGGCUGCUUCACCUGCACAGGAGGAGGAGGAGGCGUCGAUAACGGAGCUAACAUCGGCUGCGCCGGAGGAGGUGGCUGUGGCUGAGGCUGAGGAUUGCCUUGCACCGUGUUGGGUUGUUGUCCCGAUACCUUUUGCAAGAAUGCAAACACCGCAGCAUCUUUGGCAGCAGCCUUGGAU